rnacentral:rRNA from 1 species
GACAGAGGUCUCAAGCGUUAGGCGGAAUCACUGGGCUUAAAGCGUGUGUAGGCGGAUCGUUAAGUGCCUUGUGAAAUCCCACAGCUCAACUGUGGAACUGCUUGGCAUACUGGCGGUCUUGAGCCAUCUAGGGGUCGCUGGAACAAACGGUGGAGCGGUGAAAUGCGUAGAUAUCGUUUGGAACGCCAAUGGUGAAAACAGGCGACUGGGGAUGUGCUGACGCUGAGACACGAAAGCCAGGGGAGCAAACGGGG